ACGCUCGACACCUACUGGAGGCAGCAGUGGGGGAUAUUGCACAAUGGGGGAAACCCUGAUGCAGCAACGCCGCGUGAAGGAAGAAGGUCUUCGGAUUGUAAACUUCUGUCCUCAGGGAAGAUAAUGACGGUACCUGAGGAGGAAGCUCCGGCUAACUACGUGCCGCAGCCGCGGUAAUCUGAGCGGGCUGGCAAGGC
rnacentral:rRNA from 1 species